rnacentral:rRNA from 1 species
AGCUCCAAUAGCGUAUAUUAAAGUUGUUGCAGUUAAAAAGCUCGUAGUCUGACCGAUGGCGGGCGUCCUGAGCGUCCGUGGCGCAAGCCGCGCGCACGCGAAGCGUUCCUAGCCACGUGGGCUUUGCUCACGCUCUUCGGAGGAUCGUUCGUGCUUUUAACUAAGCGCGUUCGGGAUUCCGAUAGUUUACUUUGAGAAAAAUAGAGUGUUCAAAGCAGGCGUUUGCGCCUUGAAUACGUUAGCAUGGGAUAAUGAAAUAGGACAUUGGUUUUCCUAUUUUCGAUGGUUUCAGGACCGAUGUAAUGAUUAAUAGGGACAGUUGGGGACAUUCAUAUUCCAUGGCUAGAGGUGAAAUUCUUGGAUUCAUGGAAGAUGAACUACUGCGAAAGCAUUUGUCAAA